AUUGAACGCUGGCGGCAGGCCUAACACAUGCAAGUCGAACGGUAACAGGAAACAGCUUGCUGUUUCGCUGACGAGUGGCGGACGGGUGAGUAAUGUCUGGGAAACUGCCUGAUGGAGGAGGAUAACUACUGGAAACGGUAGCUAAUACCGCAUAACGUCGCAAGACCAAAGAGGGGGACCUUCGGGCCUCUUGCCAUCAGAUGUGCCCAGAUGGGAUUAGCUAGUAGGUGGGGUAAUGGCUCACCUAGGCGACGAUCCCUAGCUGGUCUGAGAGGAUGACCAGCCACACUGGAACUGAGACACGGUCCAGACUCCUACGGGAGGCAGCAGUGGGGAAUAUUGCACAAUGGGCGCAAGCCUGAUGCAGCCAUGCCGCGUGUAUGAAGAAGGCCUUCGGGUUGUAAAGUACUUUCAGCGGGGAGGAAGGUGUUGAGGUUAAUAACCUCAGCAAUUGACGUUACCCGCAGAAGAAGCACCGGCUAACUCCGUGCCAGCCGCCGCUGUAA
rnacentral:rRNA from 1 species